rnacentral:rRNA from 1 species
GACGAACGCUGGCGGCGCGCCUAACACAUGCAAGUCGAACGAGCGAGCGAGAGCUUUCUUUCUCUAGCGAGUGGCGCACGGGUGAGUAUCGCGUGAGGAACCCGCCUCUAAGAGGGGGACAACAGUUGGAAACGACUGCUCAUAUCGCAUAAGCUCACGACACGGCCUCGGGUAGAGGGUAAACGAGCAAUUAGCUUUGAGAUGUCCUCGCGUCCGAUUAGCUAGUUGGUGAGGUAACGGCCCACCAAGGCGACGAUCGGUAGCCGGACUGAGACGUGGAACAGCCACAUUGGGAAUGAGACACGGCCCAGACUCCUACGGGGGGCAGAAGUGGGGAAGAGUACACAAGGGGGGAAACCCUGAUGCAGCGACGCGGCGUAGAGGAAGAAGGUCUACGAAUUGUAAACUCCUGUUGUUGAGGAAGAUAAUGACGGUACUCAAAAAGGAAGUGACGGCUAACUACG